rnacentral:rRNA from 1 species
UGAGGGAGUAUUGGGCAAUGGGGGGAAAGCCCUGACCCACGCGACGCCGCGUGAGGGAAGAAGGCCUUCGGGUUGUAAACUUCUUUUACCAGGGACGAAGGACGUGACGGUACCUGGAGAAAAAGCAACGGCUAACUACGUGCCAGCAGCCGCGGUAAUACGUAGGUUGCAAGCGUUGUCCGGAUUUACUGGGUGUAAAGGGCGUGUAGGCGGAGAAGCAAGUUGGGAGUGAAAUCCAUGGGCUCAACCCAUGAACUGCUCUCAAAACUGUUUCCCUUGAGUAUCGGAGAGGCAAGCGGAAUUCCUAGUGUAGCGGUGAAAUGCGUAGAUAUUAGGAGGAACACCAGUGGCGAAGGCGGCUUGCUGGACGACAACUGACGCUGAGGCGCGAAAGCGUGGGGAGCAAACAGGAUUAGAUACC